GGAGGCCUCUGCGCUCGGAGGCGCCUCGGCUCUGCCGGCCGCUGGGACCCGGACCUGCAUCCGGCUGCUGCGGGCGUCGGCGGAGCCGCCUUCCCUCCGCGCCGCGCCGCGCCUCGGGUCUCCCGCACUUGCUGAUUUUUCAAGCCACAUUCAAUUGAUAGGAUGAAAAAAUUUAAGAGAAGGCUUUCCCUCACACUUCGAGGAAGUCAGACUAUUGAUGAAUCAUUGUCUGAACUGGCUGAACAAAUGACUAUUGAAGAAAACAGCAAGGAUAAUGAGCCUAUUGUGAAGAAUGGCAGGCCUCCAACAUCUCACAGUAUGCAUUCCUUCCUCCACCAGUACACAGGGUCUUUCAAGAAGCCCCCAUUGCGGAGACCGCACAGUGUUAUUGGAGGAAGCCUUGGCUCCUUCAUGGCAAUGCCCAGAAAUGGAAGCAGAUUAGAUAUUGUUCAUGAAAAUCUGAAAAUGGGAUCAGAUGGUGAGAGUGACCAAGCUUCUGGAACAUCAUCUGAUGAAGUCCAGUCACCUACAGGUGUUUGUCUCAGAAAUCGUGUACAUAGACGGAUCUCAAUGGAGGAUUUGAAUAAGAGGUUAUCACUGCCUGCAGAUAUCAGAAUACCUGAUGGUUAUCUUGAAAAACUGCAGAUAAACAGCCCACCAUUUGAUCAACCAAUGAGUCGAAGGUCUCGUAGAGCAUCCUUAUCAGAAAUUGGGUUUGGGAAAAUGGAAACCUACAUCAAAUUGGAAAAGCUGGGAGAGGGCACAUAUGCAACAGUAUAUAAAGGAAGGAGUAAACUGACAGAGAAUUUGGUGGCAUUAAAAGAGAUCCGACUGGAACAUGAAGAAGGUGCGCCCUGCACAGCUAUCAGAGAAGUUUCACUAUUAAAGGAUCUAAAACAUGCGAACAUAGUAACCUUACAUGACAUCGUUCACACAGAGAAAUCUUUGACUCUGGUCUUUGAGUAUCUGGAUAAAGACCUAAAACAGUACAUGGAUGACUGUGGAAACAUUAUGAGUAUGCAUAAUGUAAAGCUGUUUCUAUACCAAAUUCUACGUGGUUUGGCCUAUUGCCACAGAAGAAAGGUAUUGCAUCGAGACUUGAAACCACAGAACCUCCUCAUUAAUGAAAAAGGAGAGUUGAAGCUAGCAGAUUUUGGACUAGCCAGAGCCAAGUCAGUUCCCACAAAGACCUAUUCAAAUGAAGUUGUCACACUGUGGUAUCGGCCACCCGACGUGCUGCUCGGCUCCUCAGAGUAUUCGACACAGAUUGACAUGUGGGGUGUUGGUUGCAUUUUCUUUGAAAUGGCUUCUGGAAGACCUCUAUUUCCAGGAUCAACUGUGGAAGAUGAACUGCACUUAAUUUUCCGACUGCUAGGAACGCCAUCUCAGGAAACUUGGCCAGGUGUUUCUUCAAAUGAGGAGUUCAAGAACUACAACUUUCCAAAAUAUAAGCCACAGCCUCUAAUUAACCAUGCACCCAGGUUAGACUCUGAAGGAAUUGAGUUGAUAACAAAAUUUCUUCAGUACGAAUCUAAAAAAAGGGUUUCAGCAGAAGAAGCCAUGAAACACGUGUACUUCCGCAGUCUGGGACCAAGGAUACACGCUUUACCAGAAAGUAAGAGAAGUCCUGCGGUGUUUUCCCCUUCUUCAUUUGUAUUUGUUGGGGGUUGGGACCUGGGAUGGUUUGGAGGUCCAGAAAGAUAGUAGAUUUUUCAGUCUGACAUUGUAGUCUUUCCUGUAAUUAGAUCAGAAUUUUUCGAAGGGAAAUAUGUCUUAUUUUCUUGUAUUUUAAUUUAUUUCUUAUAACACUGAGCACAUUGCCACUACUCUGUAAAAAAUCAGUAGUACUUAGGCGUGGACCAUUAAUCUUAUUGGAAUUAAGUUGGAAUGACAUCUGACGACAGGUAUUGUCCCUAGGCCCAAUCUAGCUUUGAUUCAGAGUUAUUAAAAGUGAAUUUCAAGAGAAGAGUAAAGAAGCACAACCAAAACAUAAGAUUGUCUUGUGAAAGUACAUUUCCUUCUUAAGAUAUAAUUUUCCUUGACACAGGUGAGUGUAUUGUCAGUCACUAAAUUAGCGGAUUCCUCAUGCCUGAAAAGUGACUCUUUGGAUUUACUAAUGAUAUUCUUUUUUCAAAUUACACCAGUAUUUUACUUUAAAACAGAGAAAGGUAAGUGAGAAAUGAGAAUAUUUGUGAACUGAGCUGCCACAGGCUUUUAUUCAUGUCCCAUUCUCAUUUACUAUCCAAUAUUGAUUCACCAGGGUUUAUGUAGCAGUCAGUGACAAAACUAAUUGGAAUAAAAAACCUUAUGGCUUUCCCCUUAGAAAUUUACUGGAUAUUUUUUUAUGAAAGCAUACCUCUCUGACAGAUUAGAUUUGAGAGAAGUGAAUUACAAGUUUUCUUAAGAUGAUAUUUACAUCUUACUGUUAAUAACAAAUUUCAGGUUGAGGUAGGUAUAUGUUUGUAUAACCUAUUCCUUGUUUUUUUUACCAAAAAAUCUGAAGAUAGCUUUUGAGGGUCUGAUACCUUCAUACCAUCUUAAGGAGACAGAGAAUAAGAACUUCAUGAAACAUUUCAACUAGGUCUCCCGACGCCAGUAAGUCCUAGAAGAGAUAGGGUGUGUUCUCCAGAGAAACACCUGCUCACAGCAUGGGUUAAUACAAGAGGUGGGCGAAGAAAGGUUCGGAGGGCGAUUACUUCAUUCGGUUCUCUCCUCAAGACAUUGAGACAAAAAGGAAGACAUUUCAGCAGACCUAUCACCUUGUAAAAUAGUUUCAUGUCAAACCAGUAUGCGUUUUUUAAACCUUUGCCUGUAGUGGGGCUGUGUUUGUUUUAAAAAUGUUAAAACAUCACCUGAUACUUUCUGUCUAUGCAUUUUAGGUGUAUCAAUAUUCAGUCUGAAAGAUAUUCAGUUGCAAAAGGACCCGGGUUUUCGAAACUCUUCUUAUCCAGAGACAGCUCAGUAAAUCUUCAGAGAGAAAUCUGACUCAGUCAAGUCAGGGAUCCUGAAAGCUGCAGAUGGCACAAAGACCUUUUACAAGUGACCUGGCUUGAUCGCUGCACACGCCAUCCCUGGUACCUGAGGCAGAAGACACAUCUGUGCUUCCCUAGUCAUCAGGUUCAUCACUUCGAAGCAUAGAAGCUAUAGACUGACCCCAUCAACAAAAGGGUCAUUUAAGACAGUGCUGAUUACUCUCACCAUGGAAUAUUAGCUUUUGCUGGUGGGAACGUUAGCUUCCUAGAGUCACCAAAUACUGUAUGUGGGAUAAAACUGAACCUUGAACUGCCUCACAAAAUGACUUUAUAUUUUAGGACACGGGAAGAACAGAAGACAGAGCAUGCUCUUUUAAGUCUGAUAACAUGGUUUCAAGCCCAGCCCACAGCCUUUCUUGUCAAUCAAGGACUCAGAUCUGAAGGCAGUUAUUUCUUUUGGUGGACUUGGAAUCUCUGUUUGUCUACACUGUCCUCUUCACAGUGGAGUCUUUUUAUUUCAGACCUACAGAUUGUUUUUUAUAUUUGUUGUCACAGUGUGACAAUUUUUUUGUACAGUCGGUUUUAAGGUCUUCUCUGCCAUUAGAGCCAGUAGGUUACAGCUGUUGAUGUAACUGUAGCUGCAAUUUUUGUGCAGGACUGAGAAACACAGUGCAUUAUUUAUUGCGGAAUCAUUGCUGCUAAAUAACUACUGUUUGUUUAUUUAACACAACAAUUGAAUGCCUGAAGAAGUUGCAGUGGCUUUAUUAUAUGUGAAUACAUCUGUUUCUCCUCACGAAUUGUUUUACUGCUGCAUUUUUUGUUUGUUUGUUUUUAAAAUUAAACUGCAGUGUUUCCUGGAAUGUAAAUUUAGCUUUGCUUAACAGUAAAAUAAGUGAGCAAGCCAUCUUGAACACUCUAAGUUUAUGCUAUAUAAUUUCUUACUGAACGUUGGCAAAUAAAUUAGCUGAGAGACUAAUAAGCACAUUUUGUUUAGGAAAGCGUGUGAUGCCGAAGUUGAUUCAAGCAAGUGAAUACCUAACAUUCUGGGGAUCUCACAUUAGACACCAGUAAAUUAAAGCAUCGAAAUUAUUUAUUUUUACUUAUUCCUCAUUUUAGAAAUGUCUAUUGUGUGUUACUGUGUAUUUUUAUACUAAUACACUUACUUAUUUUACAUUAAUUUAACUAAAACUUAACCAUACAAGUCCAUUCAAACAUGAAAGGUCAUGAAUUCGUUUGUUUUAAAUAUAUUUCUUUUAUUAGAAAGGACGAUACUUCACUGGAGGACAAUUUAUUUUAUUUGGGAGCUGUGUGUGGUUCCAUAGCAUUCAUUUGGAAUCAGCUGAAAGCUAUGUCUUUUCAGUGAGCCAUGACAAAUUACAAAUAAGAGAAAUGAGAACUUAGAGGAUAGCUUUAAAGCAUUGUAGGUAUUACCUAUUUACCAGAGAUACUAAAUAUUCCAGUUUUAAUUAUGCAUCUCUUUGAACAUCAUAAAUACACUUUAGUAUUGCUGUUUUUAAGCAUUUGUGUUCACUUUUAAGGACUAUUUGUUUAGUGCAUCUUACAAACUAUAAAACUUAAUUGGUAUAUUUUGGAAAUGGUCAUGUAAAUUUUUGCCUAAUGUAUCAUGAAAAUAGUCAUAACUUAAUUUUUUUUCCUGAAAUUCACUGUAAAACAUUCAGGGGUCCUACCAUUUCUGUUCAGGAAAUCUUGUAGUUUAUUGUUGUUAUUUAACAGUAUUAAGUGAAUUUUUGUAUAUUUCAUUUUAACUUUAUUUGUGAAUAGUGAUUGCGGCAUGUUUGGGGUGUUAUUUUAAUAUUUCAUGAUACUGAAAUUUUAAUUUUUUAAAAAAAUUUUCUGGAAGAAACAGAUUCAUGUGUAAUAGUGAAUAUUGGACCACUACUGCUUUUCACAUUUGUAAAUUGGUUUUAUGUUAAACUCUGUAGCCUAAUAAACUACUGUUAUUCCUAACUGACAGACAUGUAUUAAUACUGUACUUUGAAGGUUAUAAAUAUUAUGUGGAAAUUCCUCCAUUUUGUUUUGAAAUUUAUAAUAACAAAAUCUCCAUGUUGUUAAAA